rnacentral:rRNA from 1 species
UACGUAGGGUGCAAGCGUUGUCCGGAAUUAUUGGGCGUAAAGAGCUCGUAGGCGGUCUGUCGCGUCGGCUGUGAAAACUCGGGGCUCAACCCCGAGCUUGCAGUCGAUACGGGCAGGCUAGAGUUCGGCAGGGGAGACUGGAAUUCCUGGUGUAGCGGUGAAAUGCGCAGAUAUCGGGAGGAACACCAAUGGCGAAGGCAGCUCGCUGGGACGUUACUGACGCUGAGACGCGAAAGCGUGGGGAGCAAACAGG